GUUGGGAUAGCUCAGU
rnacentral:tRNA from 55 species